rnacentral:misc_RNA from 1 species
CAAAAGCCAAUUUAUCAUUCUUCAACUUCAACAACACAAACCAAAAAAUCCCAAUGAGUUCUGUAGAGGAAGAAGAUUUCUUUGAUCGUCUUCCAGACCAACUUCUGCUUCUUAUCUUCAACAAGCUACAAGAUGCCAAAUCUCUUGCUCGCUGCCUCUUAGUCUCCCAUCGCUUUGCUUCUCUUGUCUUCCAAACUGACACGGUCUUUCUUUCCAUCUCUCCUCGCAAACACAACUCAAAGUCAAGCCAUCGAUUACCCGUGAACAUUUUAAAGAUUCUUUUCUUGAAGUUCAUUGCCAAACCACUCCAGUUCUUUCACCAUAAAAUUGCUCCUAACAAGUCACCUGCUAGAAACUCUGGUAAUCUCUCAUAUUACUCUCCUAAUGAAGUUUUGAAGCACUUCAAAGAUGUUAAAUCUCUGCACAUUGAGGUUCCAUCUCAUGGUGGUAAGGUAGGUUUGGAGGGUAUUGGUUCAUUGCUUAAAUGGAAGGCAGAGUUUGAUGUUGAGCUCAAGAAUUGUGUUGUUCUUGGCGCUACAUCUUUUCAGGAAAGCAUAGAUCAUUUUCAAAACCAGAGAGAAGACAUUGUUGAGCAAGUAUUAACUGAUGAUGAACUCAAGUUACGAGUUGUAUGGACGAUUUCUUGCUUGAUUGAUGCAUCUGCGAGACAUUGGUUGCUAAAGGAGGUUCUAGCAGAACAUCACAGGCUUGAAAAUGUGACCAUAAGUGAUAUAAAUAAGCAAGGAAAGCUGUGCGUGGGAAAAGAUCAGAUUACUGAUAUGAGAAAUGCAUUGAAGUCAUUGGCAACAAAAGAAUCAUCAACGGAGAGAAGCCGAGUUCCAGAUUUGAGCAUGAAGCUAUGGUACGUGCCCGUGCUAGAGUUACCAGAAACAGGUUUCUCGAUGAAGGGAGCGACACUAGUGGUUAUUAGACCUGUUGACGGGGAGAUCAGAGAUUUGAGUGAUGAUCACGGUGAUUUUUCCGGUUUUGAUGGAGAGGAAAGUGAAAAUAAAGCAUUUGAUGAAGCUGUGAGGGAGAUGAUGAAGAUGAGGAAGAACUACGUGAUGACAAUGAGCUCCUUUUGAGUUGUGAAGUUUGGGGAUUAGCUUGCAGUCGCAGACAAUUUGCCUAAUUUUUGGAAAUUAAUUAAAUUUGUCAUUGGAAACACUGAUCUGAAGCAUAAUCCCGUUGUUCAUCUCUUUCAACUAGUGAUUCAAUAUAAAAAAAGCAAGUGGAUGUAUUGCAAUUU